AGCCGCGGUAAGACGUAGGGGGCGAGCGUUGUCCGGAAUUACUGGGCGUAAAGGGCGCGUAGGCGGCAAGGUAAGUUAGAUGUGAAAACUCAGAGCUUAACUCCGAGAUUGCAUCUAAAACUGCCUAGCUUGAGUGCAUUAGAGGAGAGCGGAAUUCCUAGUGUAGCGGUGAAAUGCGUAGAUAUUAGGAAGAACACCAGUGGCGAAGGCGGCUCUCUGGGAUGUAACUGACGCUGAGGCGCGAAAGCUGGGGGAGCGAACGGGAUUAGAUACCCCGGUAGUCCCAGCCGUAAACGAUGGUCACUAGGUGUAGGAGGUAUCGACCCCUUCUGUGCCGCAGCAAACGCAAUAAGUGACCCGCCUGGGGAGUACGGCCGCAAGGCUAAAACUCAAAGGAAUUGACGGGGGCCCGCACAAGCGGUGGAGCAUGUGGUUUAAUUCGAUGCAACGCGAAGAACCUUACCAGGACUUGACAUGUAUUGGAAGUUUUCCGAAAGGGAGAUGUGCCUCGUAAGAGGAGCCAAUACACAGGUGGUGCAUGGCC
rnacentral:rRNA from 1 species